rnacentral:rRNA from 1 species
GCGAACGCUGGCGGCAGGCCUAAAACAUGCAAGUCGAACGCCGUAGCAAUACGGAGUGGCAGACGGGUGAGUAACACGUGGGAACGUGCCUUUUGGUUCGGAACAACCCAGGGAAACUUGGGCUAAUACCGGAUAAGCCCUUCGGGGGAAAGAUUUAUCGCCAGAAGAUCGGCCCGCGUCUGAUUAGCUAGUUGGUGGGGUAAUGGCCCACCAAGGCUACGAUCAGUAGCUGGUCUGAGAGGAUGAUCAGCCACACUGGGACUGAGACACGGCCCAGACUCCUACGGGAGGCAGCAGUUAGGAAUCUUGGACAAUGGGCGCAAGCCUGAUCCAGCCAUGCCGCGUGAGUGAUGAAGGCCUUAGGGUUGUAAAGCUCUUUCAGCGGGGAAGAUAAUGACGGUACCCGCAGAAGAAGCCCCGGCUAACUUCGU